rnacentral:lncRNA from 1 species
CUGGAAUUUGUCAAAAGCCACAGUUGGCAUCCCUAAAAUUCACCUGCCUGGAUUCUGUUCUGAGAAGAUUGUGUCUGCAAGAAAGUCUGGCCAAGUUCCUAAAAGAGGCAAAAUCAAGGAUAGAUGGCAUCUAUCCUAGUUCACGUGAAGGUUAAAAGCGUCUUCAGGUACUUAGAUACAUAGAUAUACAGGCUCUGUUAUUACAAACUUUCAAGGCAAUUCUUAUGUUCUUAUGUAUUUAUUUGCUUUUUGAAUCACAAAAUUUAUGCUUAUAUUUUAAGCAGAUGGAGUUUGUUUAUGAAGAAGUGAUUAUUGCUGAUACUCAUUAUUACACAUCAGAGUAGUUAUAUUUCUAUGUAAUUUUUUGCAUGGAGUAGGCAUUUGUGGUCUUGCUCUACAUCUGUUUGAUCAUAGCAAUUCCAGUUGAUUUCACAGGGUCAGCAAAUACACAGCACAUAAGCUAACACUCUUCCUUCUUGUACCCACAGUAGACCACUAAUCAAUUAUGGCGUUUGUCUUGCUAAGCCAGGAAACAGCUUCAGAAUCCUUCUCAAACAAUGUUUCAGACAGCUGCUAUUAAUAUGUCAGAGUUGGCACUUGAUGAGAAAUACAGUUGCCAUUCCAGAUUAAGGCCAACACCCCCCACCGCCCCAAAAAACAGCCUCAUAAAAAGACCUCUGAGCAGUGGCAUCAGAAAUCUAAGGGUCACUGAUGGAGUAUGACAGGAAUCUAAGACAGAGAGAGAUCCUAAUUUCCCAGGAGCCAGUAAUGCAGAGUGGAUAAUUCUGGUUUGGACUUAAGGUAGAUGUAGGAUGGAAGUAAAAAAGAAAACAUACAUUGGGACUGGGUCCUUAGAUCUAUAAAUUGUUUAUUUGGGUAGCCAUUACUCAGAUUUCUCUCAUUCUAUAGAGUGGUUUUUUAGAGUUUCACAGUGGUACCUAAUUGUGACAAUACGGGUCUUUCCUAUGAUUAGUGACCCAAUAGAAUAGUGAAAAGGAAAGUAUUUGUUUUUGUACAACAUAGAGGCAUGAGUGCCUUCUUUUAACCCAUUGAUUCCCACACUUUGAUCUUGAGAAACUUACUGUCUUAAACCUUCUGAAGACCUCCCAAAGGGCUUUUGUUUAUAUGGCUAUAACUUUCAAGAUUUAUCAUAUUUAAAUUAAAAUGGAAAAAUGUUAAAAUAGUUAUUGAAAAUGAAAAUAGUAAAUGCCUGUUUACUUAAAUAAUAUUUAAUCUCACAGAUCCCCUGAAAGAUUUUGGAGAAUUUCCUGAUUGGCACUUUGAAAACUGCUGCUGUAACCAAUUCUGUGAUGACUGCUGACUUGAUGUGUGCUUAAGACACAGACACCUACA